rnacentral:rRNA from 1 species
UCAAGCUAAAAAGAGCGCAGGGUGGAUGCCUUGGCACUAAGAGCCGAUGAAAGACGUGAUAAGCUGCGAUAAGCUACGGGGAGGAGCACAUAUCCAUUGAUCCGUAGAUUUCUGAAUGGGGAAACCCGGCUGAGCAUACCUCAGUCACCGUGCACUGAAUCCAUAGGUGUACGGAGGGAACCCGGUGAACUGAAACAUCUAAGUAGCCGGAGGAAGAGAAAGAAAACUCGAUUUUCAAAGUAGCGGCGAGCGAAAUGGAAAGAGCCCAAACCGGAGUGCGUGCACUCCGGGGUUCGGACUGCAUUUAUGACUUCUGACUGUAGCGGAACGGUUCUGGAAAGACCGGCCAGAGAGGGUGAGAGCCCCGUAGGCGAAACGGAAAGAAGCAGAGCAGGAUCCAGAGUACCACGAGACACGAGAAACCUUGUGGGAAUGAGCGGGGACCACCCCGUAAGGCUAAAUACUCCUUAGUGACCGAUAGCGCAUAGUACUGUGAAGGAAAGGUGAAAAGGACCCCGGGAGGGGAGUGAAAGAGAACCUGAAACCCUGUGUUUACAAACUGUGGAAGUACCAUACGAGUACAACCGCGUACUUUUUGUAGAACGGUCCGGCGAGUUACGUUUACUGGCGAGGUUAAGCACUUAAGGUGCGGAGCCGAAGGGAUACCAAGUCUUAACAGGGCGUAAAGUCAGUGUACGUAGACCCGAAACCGGGUGAUCUACCCAUGUCCAGGCUGAAGUUGCCGUAAAAGGCAAUGGAGGGCCGAACGCACAUCCGUUGAAAAGGGUGGCGAUGAGGUGUGGGUAGGGGAGAAAUUCCAAUCGAACCCGGAGAUAGCUGGUUCUCCUCGAAAUAGCUUUAGGGCUAGCCUCUGGUUAGUCUGCCGCAGGUAGAGCACUGAAUUUCCUAGGGGGCGUCAAAGCCUACCGAAGAAUAUCAAACUGCGAAUGGCGGACAGAUGAUGCCAGGGAGUCAGACUGCACGAGAUAAGUUGGGUGGUCAAAAGGGAAAGAGCCCAGACCUACAGCUAAGGUCCCAAAGUGUGUGUUAAGUGGAAAAGGAUGUGGGAUUUCGAAGACAACUAGGAUGUUGGCUCAGAAGCAGCCAUACAUUCAAAGAGUGCGUAAUAGCUCACUAGUCGAGAGGUCCUGCGCCGAAAAUGUCCGGGGCUGAAACACAACACCGAAGCUGCGGAAUCACGAAAGUGAUUGGUAGAGGAGCAUUCUUAAUACCGACGAAGCUGUACCGGAAGGAGCAGUGGAGGGAUAAGAAGAGAGAAUGCCGGAAUGAGUAGCGAGAGAAAGGUGGGAAUCCUUUCGGCCGAAUAUCUAAGGUUUCCAGAGUAAAGCUGAUCUGCUCUGGGUAAGUCGGGGCCUAAGCACAGGUCGCAAGACGUAAGCGAUGGAUAACAGGUUUAGAUUCCUGUACCACGCAUUAUCAGAACUGUAGGGACGCAUGUGGAAAGCACGAGCCGGGAAUGGAAAGACCGGUACAAGCGGGGUAGGUGUACAAUAGGCAAAUCCGUUGUAUAAUCCGAAGACGUGAUGUGGAGCGAAAUAAAGUAGUGAAGCGUGUGAGCCAUGUGCCGAGAAAAGCUGCUAUUGUGUAAUGCGUGCCCGUACCGUAAACCGACACAGGUGGAUGAGGAGAGAAUCCUAAGGCCGACGGAAGAAGCAUUGUUAAGGAACUCGGCAAAAUGACCCCGUAACUUCGGGAGAAGGGGUGCCCUGUGAAAGCAGGGCCGCAGAGAAUAGGCUCAAGCAACUGUUUAGCAAAAACACAGGUCUAUGCGAAACCGAAAGGUGAGGUAUAUGGGCUGACGCCUGCCCGGUGCUGGAAGGUUAAGAGGAGAUGUUAAUCGCAAGGUGAAGCAUUGAAUUUAAGCCCCAGUAAACGGCGGCCGUAACUAUAACGGUCCUAAGGUAGCGAAAUUCCUUGUCGGGUAAGUUCCGACCCGCACGAAAGG